AAGAACCUAAAGGUCUAUCCCUAACAGUCAAUGAGGUGGGAUGAAUCGGGGAACAAGGUCGAACUCCUAACAGAGACGAAAGAGAUUAUGUAAUAUCUUCCUAACUGCUUAAGCCUUUGUGCGCAGAAAUAACUGUGUUGGUGGGAGGUAGUUGGUAUCUGGUGGAAUAGUCAAAAGGUGUGCGCAAGCUAGCUCAGACACCAUACUUCUAAAAACUAGAGCCUUAGCCUUUUGAUUGAAUCGUUGGAAUAGUCAAAAGGUGUGCGCAAGCUUCCAUACUUCUAGAAACUAGAGCCUUAGCCUUUUGAUUGAAUGAUAAUACCUAUCUUGUGCUCUUUCGGUUCAUCGUCUGUGAAUCUAACAGAAAACAUUUUUUUCUACACAUUCUUCUUCAAUGAUUAUCCACUUUUUUAUGUCAACUUCCUUCUAUCUGCGAACUUCGAGUUUCGUACAGAAAAUUUUCAAUAUGCUGCUGUUAUCAAAUCUUUCGCAAACUUCUGGGGCAUAGCCAGCAAUCUACUGCAAUACUGCAGCUAGUAGUACGACAUCGCUGCAAGUAGCCAUAGUAUAAUCAGGCGCAGAAAGCACAAAAGUGCCAAGCCACGCGGGGGCUUAAGUUGCAAGUGCAAUUAAAGGGCAAG
rnacentral:lncRNA from 1 species